rnacentral:misc_RNA from 1 species
GGCAGCCAAUGGAGCCAUUGCUGAAGCAUGCAAAAAUGAGGAUCGCAUCCAUAUCAUAGACUUCCAAAUUGCUCAGGGCACCCAAUGGAUAACUCUCCUUCAAGCUCUUGCAGCAAAGCCAGAUGGAGCUCCUCAUGUGCGUAUAACAGGUAUUGAUGAUCCUGUUAAUAAACAUGCGCGUGGUGAUGGAUUAGAAGCAGUUCAGAGAAGAUUAGCUGCAAUCUCUGAGAAAUUUAAUAUCGCCAUAGAGUUUCAUGGUGUGCCAGUUUUUGC